CCUACGGGAGGCUGCAGUGGGGAAUAUUGGGCAAUGGGCGCAAGCCUGACCCAGCAACGCCGCGUGAAGGAAGAAGGCUUUCGGGUUGUAAACUUCUUUUGUCAGGGACGAAGCAAGUGACGGUACCUGACGAAUAAGCCACGGCUAACUACGUACCAGCAGCCGCGGUCAUACGUCGGUGGCAAGCGUUAUCCGGAUUUACUGGGGGUAAAGGGCGUGUAGGCGGGACUGCAAGUCAGAUGGGAAAACCACGGGCUCAACCUGUGGCGUGCAUUUGAAACUGUAGUUCUUGAGUACUGGAGAGGCAGACGGAAUUCCUAGUGUAGCGGUGAAAUGCGUAGAUAUUAGGAGGAACACGAGUGGCGAAGGCGGUCUGCUGGACAGCAACUGACGCUGAGGCGCGAAAGCGUGGGGAGCAAACAGGAGUAGAUACCCCAGUAGUC
rnacentral:rRNA from 1 species